GCAAUGGUGGUUCAGUGGCAGAAUUCUUGCCUUCCAUGUGGGUGACCUAAGUUUGAUUCCUGGCCAAUGCA
rnacentral:tRNA from 1 species